CCCCGGCUAAUUACGUGCCAGCAGCCGCGGUAAUACGUAGGGGGGCUAGCGUUAUCCCGGAUUUACUGGGCGUAAAGGGUGCGUAGGCGGUCUUUCAAGUCAGAAGUUAAAUUNUACGGCUCAACCGUAGCCAGCUUUUGAAACUGGAAGACUUGAGUGCAGGAGAGGAGAGUAGAAUUCCUAGUGUAGCGGUGAAAUGCGUAGAUAUUAGGAGGAAUACCAGUAGCGAAGGCGGCUCUCUGGACUGUAACUGACGCUGAGGCACGAAAGCGUGGGGAGCGAACAGGAUUAGAUACCCUGGUAGUCCACGCCGUAAACGAUGAGUACUAGGUGUCGGGGGUUACCCCCCUCGGUGCCGCAGCUAACGC
rnacentral:rRNA from 1 species